GACGAACGCUGGCGGCGUGCUUAACACAUGCAAGUCGAACGGUAAGGCCCUUCGGGUGGAAUAAUAAUAACUUAGUGGCGGACGGGUGAGUAACGCGUGGGUAACCUGCCUCAUACAGGGGGAUAACAGUUGGAAACGGCUGCUAAAACCGCAUGACAUUGCGAUGUCGCAUGACAAUGCAAUGAAAUAUUUAUAGGUAUGAGAUGGGCCCGCGUCUGAUUAGCUAGUUGGUGAGGUAAUGGCCCACCAAGGCGACGAUCAGUAGCCGGCUUGAGAGAGUGACCGGCCACAUUGGGACUGAGACACGGCCCAAACUCCUACGGGAGGCAGCAGUGGGGAAUAUUGCACAAUGGGGGAAACCCUGAUGCAGCGACGCCGCGUGAGUGAAGAAGUAUUUCGGUAUGUAAAGCUCUAUCAGCAGGGAAGAAAAUGACGGUACCUGACUAAGAAGCCCCGGCUAACUACGUGCCAGCAGCCGCCGUAA
rnacentral:rRNA from 1 species